UACAGAGGGGGCAAGCGUUGUUCGGAAUUACUGGGCGUAAAGGGCGCGUAGGCGGCCUGUUAAGUCGAACGUGAAAUCCCCGGGCUCAACCCGGGAACUGCGUCCGAUACUGGCAGGCUUGAAUCCGGGAGAGGGAUGCGGAAUUCCAGGUGUAGCGGUGAAAUGCGUAGAUAUCUGGAGGAAUACCGGUGGCGGAAGGCGGCAUCCUGGACCAUUACUGACGCUGAGGCGCGAAAGCUAGGGGAGCAAACGGG
rnacentral:rRNA from 1 species